rnacentral:lncRNA from 1 species
GGUACAAUAUAAAAAAGAAGAUGUGGUAUGAUUGCCAAUGAGACAACUAUCCACAAAAGACCAAAAUGACACAGACAUUAACAACUAUAGGUCACCGUACGGCCUUCAACAAUGAGCAAAGCCCAUACCGCAUAGUCAGCUAUAAAAGGCCCCGAUAAGACAAUGUAAAACAAUUCAAACGAGAAAACUAACGGCAUUAUUUAUGUAAAAAAAUGAACAAAAAACAAAUGUGUAACACAUAAACAAACGACAACCACUGAAUAUACAGGUUCCUGACUUGGGACAGGCACAUACAUAAAUAAUGUGGCGGGGUUAAACAUGUUAGCGGGAUCCCAACCCUCCCCCUAACCAGGGACAGUGGUAUAACAGUACAACAUAAGAACGAAC